rnacentral:rRNA from 1 species
GAUGAGCGCUGGCGGCGUGCCUAAUACAUGCAAGUCGAGCGAACGGACGAGAAGCUUGCUUCUCUGAUGUUAGCGGCGGACGGGUGAGUAACACGUGGAUAACCUACCUAUAAGACUGGGAUAACUUCGGGAAACCGGAGCUAAUACCGGAUAAUAUUUUGAACCGCAUGGUUCAAAAGUGAAAGACGGUCUCGCUGUCACUUAUAGAUGGAUCCGCGCUGCAUUAGCUAGUUGGUAAGGUAACGGCUUACCAAGGCAACGAUGCAUAGCCGACCUGAGAGGGUGAUCGGCCACACUGGAACUGAGACACGGUCCAGACUCCUACGGGAGGCAGCAGUAGGGAAUCUUCCGCAAUGGGCGAAAGCCUGACGGAGCAACGCCGCGUGAGUGAUGAAGGUCUUCGGAUCGUAAAACUCUGUUAUUAGGGAAGAACAUAUGUGUAAGUAACUGUGCACAUCUUGACGGUACCUAAUCAGAAAGCCACGGCUAACUACGUG